CUCCACCUUAGCAGGGGCGUCGGGUAAAGAUUCUUGAUCCGGGAGAGAGCUGCUUCCAUAGUGAGGUCCGGGUCCGUCUUCUUCAGUGUGCUGGAUGCAAGUGACUCUGAGGGGCAAGCGGCUGACGUCUUGAGCGCCGCGCAAGAGCCAAAAGGAACCGAGCGGGGACGGCCGCUAGGUGGGGGGCUCCAGGGGGAGCGGAUCUGUGUUUGCCGUGGACUUUGAAAGCUGGAGGUGGAUGUUGAGAUUUGAACUUUAUUGGUCGCUAAAGGUUUGAGCAGGUCGGGCUUAAUCAGUACUUCCAGAAUAUGUAUAGGUUUUGGGGGUACGUUAUUGAACUGAAGCUAAAGAAAGUGAAAAUUUGGAAAAUUUGUAUGUGGAUGGGACUCAUGGUUGCGAAGAAAUAUGGAAGUAAUGGAGAUAAAUUUGAGGAUAAUUAUGAAAGAAAGGUUGGAAACAUAAAAGGGUUGUUCAAGACGAGUUAUACAAUGGUUAGGAACAGCACUUUCAAUUUAAUAGAAGGUAAAGGACACCUUUAAGGACGCGCAAAUCUGGGAGGCGGGUCAAGGUGUGCAAAUUUGGAAUAAUUUAUUAGUUACCGCGGGCGCGCAAUGUGAUUGAUCGGUGCAAAAUUGAGAGAACCCUCAAGAGUGAAGGGAGGGGGGGG